UACGUAGGUGGCAAGCGUUGUCCGGAUUUAUUGGGUUUAAAGGGUGCGUAGGCGGUCUAAUAAGUCAGUGCUGAAAUAUCCCGGCUUAACCGGGAGGGUGGCAUUGAUACUGUUGGACUUGAGUAGAGUUGAGGUUGGCGGAAUUGACGGUGUAGCGGUGAAAUGCUUAGAUAUCGUCAAGAACACCGAUAGUGAAGACAGCUAACUAAGCUCAAACUGACGCUGAGGCACGAAAGCGUGGGGAGCAAACAGG
rnacentral:rRNA from 1 species